UACAGAGGUCCCAAGCGUUGUUCGGAUUCACUGGGCGUAAAGGGUGCGUAGGCGGUCGGGUAAGUCUGAUGUGAAAUCUCACAGCUUAACUGUGAAACUGCAUUGGAUACUAUCCGGCUCGAGGAAUGGAGGGGAGACUGGAAUACCUGGUGUAGAGGUGAAAUUCGUAGAUAUCAGGUGGAACACCAGUGGCGAAGGCGGCCUUCUGGACGGUAACUGACGCUGAGACGCGAAAGCGUGGGGAGCAAACAGG
rnacentral:rRNA from 1 species